rnacentral:rRNA from 1 species
CUUUCCAUCAAUCUACUGAAUGUGCCUGACCUCAUCUGAUCUUGGAAGCUAAGCUAGGGUUGGGCCUGAUUAGUACUUGGAAGGGAAAUUUCUUUCCAUCACAAUACUGAGAUUUUGGGGUGCUAGAAUGU